CAGUCGCCGCGGUAAUACGAAGGGUGCAAGCGUUAAUCGGAAUUACUGGGCGUAAAGCGUGCGUAGGCGGUGAGUUAAGUCUGCUGUGAAAUCCCCGGGCUCAACCUGGGAAUGGCAGUGGAUACUGGCUCGCUAGAGUGUGUCAGAGGAUGGUGGAAUUCCCGGUGUAGCGGUGAAAUGCGUAGAGAUCGGGAGGAACGCCGAUGGCGAAGGCAGCCACCUGGUCCACUUCUGACGCUGAGGCACGAAAGCGUGGGGAGCAAACAGGAUUAGAUACCCGAGUAGUCCCUGUCUCUUAUAC
rnacentral:rRNA from 1 species